CAGGAAGUGUACUAAGCACUGGAGAUAUGGAAAUGAUAUGAUUAUGAAUGAUAUAUACAUGUACAUAUAUCUAUAUACUAUACACAUUAUAAAAUAUACUCUCACAUGAAAAUUAAAAAAGAAUAACACAAAAAUGGUUGUAAGUAGAAGUUCUGAAAUUAUCUUCAUGCACCCCAGUGGAUGAUUUUGGCUAUCCCUGGAUUGUAAAUAAUUCCUACUUGGAAAUUAUUGGCCAAAUCAGGUGUGAGCAAAUUGAGAGAGAAAAUGCCAAAUUGAACUGCUGACGGCUUCCAGGAGAGGAGUAUUACUACAAAGCUGAGAUAAAGACAUGGAGCUCAAAGACAGAGUUGUCCAAGUUCUUUGGGAAGAGAAAAUAAGCAGCUUCCUCCAGAGAGGAGACAUCUAGCUGAGGCCUGGCCACAAGUAUCUUUCAUUUCUUGAUCAUAGUGAUUGGAUCAUGGAUGGGCAUAUGCUACAAAUCAGAGUGAAGAAUAGUAAAAUCUUGACAAACUGUAUUAAAAUUGGCCCAUGAAUGUCUUUUGGAGAGCAUGUAAGUUAAGCAAAGAAGAAAUCAAGGAACAGGCAUUCUAAUAAUUAGGAGUCCUUUAUCCAAUGAGUCUUUAAAUGUUUGUUCAACAUCUGUUUAGAAAAAAAUGAACUUAUUUCAUGGCAAGAAAAACUCAUUUUCAUGAAUAAUUUUCUUCCAUUUAUAAAAAUGGUCCU
rnacentral:lncRNA from 1 species